UUUUUAGCCGUGAUUGUAGAAGUGGUUUGUGGUUUUAGAACAACAAUUACCUAAUCUGUUUUCCUAAUUAAUUCAAUCAACAUGGGCUAGGAUCUUCACACCUUAAUUAGGAAGUGAACAACUCUGCUUGCAUUUUUGUUUAUCGUUUUGCCUCUGGUAGAUAUUUACUGCCUUGGAGAAAAUGAAACCAUUUGUCAUUUCAGAAUGGAAUUAAUGCAUGUGAAGGAGGUUCUGUCUCCUCUGUGGCAGUCAGUGAAGGCAGUAGAGAAAAUACAGGGUGAGGGGCUGAGGUGAACAAGACCCUCAGGGGGAGGGUGAGUAGAGGGCCGGGCAGGGGAGGAAGCUCUGGGUCCCCAUCCUGACUUGGCCACUGUGUGAAUCUCUCCGAGUCUCAGAAUCUGAGCAAGUGGAUGUGGCUGCCUUGCCUCCUCCCAGAGUCACUGUGGCCGUCAAGGAGAGAGGGGCCUUGAAGAGCCACGAGCACCAGGGGAGCGUGCGAUGGUGUUAACUGCUGCCCUCUCCCA
rnacentral:lncRNA from 1 species